rnacentral:rRNA from 1 species
UACGAAGGUCCCAAGCGUUAUCCGGAUUUAUUGGGUUUAAAGGGUGCGUAGGCGGGCUAUUAAGUCAGUGGUGAAAGCCCCAAGCUUAACUUGGGAACUGCCAUUGAUACUGAUGGUCUUGAGUACAUUUGAGGUGGGCGGAAUGUGUCAUGUAGCAAUGAAAUGCUUAAAUAUGACACAGAACACCGAUUGCGAAGGCAGCUCACUAAACUGUAACUGACGCUGAGGCACGAAAGCGUGAGGAGCAAACAGG